UACGUAGGGUGCGAGCGUUGUCCGGAAUUACUGGGCGUAAAGAGCUCGUAGGUGGUUUGUCGCGUUGUUCGUGAAAUCUCACGGCUUAACUGUGAGCGUGCGGGCGAUACGGGCAGACUAGAGUACUGCAGGGGAGACUGGAAUUCCUGGUGUAGCGGUGGAAUGCGCAGAUAUCAGGAGGAACACCGAUGGCGAAGGCAGGUCUCUGGGCCGCAACUGACGCUGAGGAGCGAAAGCAUGGGGAGCGAACAGG
rnacentral:rRNA from 1 species